GGCAGUAUGAUUCUGGGGAAAGAAUGCUGAAUCUCAAAUCUGGAUACCUGGGUUCAAAACCUGGUUCUGCUA
rnacentral:tRNA from 1 species